GCAGUCGAACGGCAGCACGGGAGCUUGCUCCUGGUGGCGAGUGGCGAACGGGUGAGUAAUAUAUNCGGAACGUACCCUAGAGUGGGGGAUAACGCAGCGAAAGUUGCGCUAAUACCGCAUACGAUCUACGGAUGAAAGUGGGGGAUCGCAAGACCUCAUGCUCAUGGAGCGGCCGAUAUCUGAUUAGCUAGUUGGUGGGGUAAAGGCCUACCAAGGCAUCGAUCAGUAGCUGGUCUGAGAGGACGACCAGCCACACUGGAACUGAGACACGGUCCAGACUCCUACGGGAGGCAGCAGUGGGGAAUUUUGGACAAUGGGGGCAACCCUGAUCCAGCAAUGCCGCGUGAGUGAAGAAGGCCUUCGGGUUGUAAAGCUCUUUUGUCAGGGAAGAAACGGUGAGGGCUAAUAUCCUUUGCUAAUGACGGUACCUGAAGAAUAAGCACCGGCUAACUACGUGCCAGCAGCCGCGGUAAUACGUAGGGUGCAAGCGUUAAUCGGAAUUACUGGGCGUAAAGCGUGCGCAGGCGGUUAUGUAAGUCAGAUGUGAAAUCCCCGGGCUCAACCUGGGAAUGGCAUUUGAGACUGCAUGGCUAGAGUGUGUCAGAGGGGGGUAGAAUUCCACGUGUAGCAGUGAAAUGCGUAGAGAUGUGGAGGA
rnacentral:rRNA from 1 species